rnacentral:rRNA from 1 species
GACGUAGGGUGCAAGCGUUGUCCGGAAUUACUGGGCGUAAAGCGUGCGCAGGCGGCCUCUUAAGUCAGAUGUGAAAUCCCCGGGCUUAACCUGGGAACUGCGUUUGAAACUGGGAGGCUAGAGUGUGGAAGAGGGGGGUGGAAUUCCAGGUGUAGCAGUGAAAUGCGUAGAGAUCUGGAGGAACACCGAUGGCGAAGGCAGCCCCCUGGGCUGACACUGACGCUCAUGCACGAAAGCGUGGGGAGCAAACAGG